CAGCAGCCGCGGGAAUACGUAGGUGGCAAGCGUUGUCCGGAAUUAUUGGGCGUAAAGCGCGCGCAGGUGGUUUAAUAAGUCUGAUGUGAAAGCCCACGGCUCAACCGUGGAGGGUCAUUGGAAACUGUUAAACUUGAGUGCAGGAGAGAAAAGUGGAAUUCCUAGUGUAGCGGUGAAAUGCGUAGAGAUUAGGAGGAACACCAGUGGCGAAGGCGGCUUUUUGGCCUGUAACUGACACUGAGGCGCGAAAGCGUGGGGAGCGAACAGGAUUAGAUACCCGCGUAGUCCCUGUCUCUUAUAC
rnacentral:rRNA from 1 species